rnacentral:tRNA from 1 species
UCUUCGAUAGUAUAGUGGCUAGUAUAUUGCCUUGUCAGGCCUUCACCAGGCCCAGCGCGGCAGAGACCCGGGUUCAAUUCCCGGUCGAAGAG